AAGGGAGACCUAAUUCAGGUGGGAGACGAAAAAAAAGUAGUCCCAACCAAGAAUCAAUCCCAAAAGGUCGGAGCGAGGCGAAAUUGGCUUUCAAACUAGGUUCUGGGUUCACAUAAGACCUGAAUCAGGAACAAGGGCUAUUAGCUCAGGUGGUUAGAGCGCACCCCUGAUAAGGGUGAGGUCCCUGGUUCGAGUCCAGGAUGGCCCACCUGCACAGGUGGCAAAAACAAAGAAAAAAAGCUCCGAAUCAGCACCUUAUCUUACUUAUACAGUAAGAGAGAAUGCUGGCUCUGAGUUCAGAGUCCAGAGGAACCUUGAAAACUGCAUAGAGCUAGGUGAAAAAGCCAAAAAAGAAGACCGCAAGGUCAAGCUAAUAAGGGCUAACGGUGGAUACCUAGGCAC
rnacentral:tRNA from 1 species